UACAGAGGGGGCAAGCGUUGUUCGGAAUUACUGGGCGUAAAGGGCGCGUAGGCGGCCCGCUAAGUCGAACGUGAAAUCCCCGAGCUCAACUCGGGAACUGCGUCCGAUACUGGCGGGCUUGAAUCCGGGAGAGGGAUGCGGAAUUCCAGGUGUAGCGGUGAAAUGCGCAGAUAUCAGGAGGAACACCGGUGGCGAAGGCGGUUCUCUGGGCAUUACCUGACGCUGAGGAGCGAAAGUGUGGGGAGCGAACAGG
rnacentral:rRNA from 1 species